AGGUANAAUUUAUAAUUUGUCAUGAAUAAUCUUUAUUGGGGCAAUAUUGCAAACUUAUUAAAAUUUGGAUUUAAACCAGGAUUAGAUACCCUGUUAUUCCAAUUUGAAAAAAUGUUGCUUGGGUAGUAAUUAGCUAUGAGCUUGAAAUCUAAAGAAUUUGGCGGUACUUUAUCUCAUUAGAGGAACCUGCUGCAGAAACGAUAGUCCACGUAAGAUCUUACUCUGUUUGGUUUAUCAGUUAGUAUACCGCCAUACUUUGCUGUAUUUCGAAGUARUUAGCAAAAUAGAUAGUAUCUAGUAAUGUAGGUCAGGGUGCAGCCAAUAGCAGAGUGCUUAGUGGGUUACAAUAUUUUUGAAAUAUACGAAAAAGAGGGAGUAUUUACUUUUGGAAGGAGGAUUUAAUAGUAAUUUUGUUUUAAUUAGGCAAGAUGAAUUAGAGCUCUAAAAUAUGUACACAUCGCCCGUCGCUCUCAUGUUACAAGUGAGAUA
rnacentral:rRNA from 1 species